AACGUACAACUAGGGGUGGGGUAGGAAUACAGAUAUCUGAUAUUGGGUUUACCCGUACUUAACUCGAUAUCUGAUAUUGGGUGUUAUUGAGGUGUAGAUGCACAGUUUGAGGACUACUGCAUAGCGGACGAGCAAUACAGGGAUGAUGAGCUGAUGUACGCAAUGAAGUGGGCGUGCAGCAACGGGGCAGAGUGCAGCGCUCUUGAAGAGAAUAAGCCGUGCUUCUACCCCAACACCACCAAGGACCACGCCUCUUACGCAUUCAACAGCUACUAUCAGAACACCAAGCACAUUGGAGGCAGCUGCUACUUCAUCGCUGCUGCACUUUUGACCGCUCUUAAUCCAAGUCAUGACUCAUGCGUAUGCUUCCGCCUCCUCACACAAAAGUGGUGCCCAAAGUAGCAGCUCCUGCUUUCCAUCAAGGCCGGUCUUUAGGGGUCUUCAAUCUUGAUUUUAGCUAAUGAGGCAUCCAACGUGUAUAACUAAAGUUGAUUAGUUAAUGAUAAUGAGACUACAUUUCA